rnacentral:rRNA from 1 species
GCUCAGAGUAUAAGCCAAUGGAGCUUGGAAGGCUUCCGCAGAUGGUGUCCAUCAUACGUGGUGUUCUUAAGACCUUGAGUGUGGCUCGUCAGGCGAAGCAUUGAGUUUGCCGGGUAGCUGUCGUGCGGGGGUUCGGCUUGGAGGUCUUAGGCUUCGGCCGAAGGGCUUCCGGCUGUCCCCUUUUGAAUGGACGUUCAGAGCUCUUGUGUCUAAUGCGGUUAUGCCCACCACAGCACGUUGUGAGGUCACCCACAGGCUCAAACUGCCGAUCGCGCAUCCAGGACGAUGGCAACGAUGCGUUGUUGAUGGAGACAGAGACUUCACUCACACGCGUGUCUAGUCCUGGGUCGGGCGGCGACCGAGAUAAACCUGGUAUGAUCCUCUUGCGACGAGCUGCUUUCUGGCCAGACCGACGUCCAGGCGCUUCCACUGUGCCGGAAGCGUCUAUCCCAGGCGGUGUGAACCCAUCUGCAUUAUGCAAGGUCUCUCAGCCGGGCGUUGGUCUGAGUGGUGUUAAGUCCAGCACCAUCGGUCACGUCUCGAAACACGGGCCAAGGAGUAUAGCAUGUGUGCAAGUCUAAGGGUCUCACAAAACCCGAAGGCGAAGUGAAAGCAAGACUGUGGCGGGGGAGCUACGGCAAACCCGCCGGCCUAGUGGCGCGUGCGUCGCCUGGCUUUUAGCAGAGCUGAUCCUGUUUAUCGGUUAAUUCUUGGUGCAGGCGCAAGCUCCGGGCUCACGUACAACACUGUCACGCCUUGCG